GCGCACCAGGCGCGAAUACUUUACAAUGUGCGAAAGCACGAUAAGGGAACUCUGAGUGCCUCCUAAGGAGGCUGUUCUGAUGUCUAAAAAGCAACAGAAGUAAGGGCUGGGUAAGACCGGUGCCAGCCGCCGCGGUAACACCGGCAGCCCAAGUGGUAGCCACGUUUAUUGGGUCUAAAGCGUUCGUAGCCGGCCAGGUAAGUUCCUUGGUAAAUUUAGCCGCUUAACGGUUAAGCUUUCAGGGAAUACUGCUUGGCUUGGGACUGGGGAGAGGUCAGAGGUACUCCGGGGGUAGGGGUGAAAUCUAUUAAUCCCUGGGGGACCACCGGUAGCGAAGGCGUCUGACCAGACCAGGUCCGACGGUGAGGGACGAAGGCUAGGGGCGCGAACCGGAUUAGAUAUCCCUGUAGU
rnacentral:rRNA from 1 species